rnacentral:rRNA from 1 species
GACGAACGCUGGCGGCGUGCUUAACACAUGCAAGUCGAACGGAAAGGCCCUGCUUUUGUGGGGUGCUCGAGUGGCGAACGGGUGAGUAACACGUGAGUAACCUGCCCUUGACUUUGGGAUAACUUCAGGAAACUGGGGCUAAUACCGGAUAGGAGCUCCUGCUGCAUGGUGGGGGUUGGAAAGUUUCGGCGGUUGGGGAUGGACUCGCGGGUGAUGAGCUUGUUGGUGGGGUAGUGGCUUACCAAGGCUUUGACGGGUAGCUGGCCUGAGAGGGUGACCGGCCACACUGGCACGGAGACACGGGCCAGGGUCCGACGGGAGGCAGCAGUGGGGAAUAUGGGACAAUGGGCGCAAGCCGGAUCCAGCCAUUCCGCGUGGGGGAAGAAGGCCUCCGGGUUGGAAAGCCCUUUUGUUGGGAAAGAAAACCACCAGGUUAAUACCCCGGUGGUAGGACGGUACCCAAAGAAUAAGCACCGGCUAACUUCGUG